AUUGAACGCUGGCGGCAUGCUUUACACAUGCAAGUCGAACGGCAGCACGGGGGCAACCCUGGUGGCGAGUGGCGAACGGGUGAGUAACACAUCGGAACGUGCCCAGUUGUGGGGGAUAACCUAUCGAAAGGUAGGCUAAUACCGCAUGAGCUCGGCAAGAGGAAAGCGGGGGACUCAGCGAUGGGGCCUCGCGCGACUGGAGCGGCCGAUGUCCGAUUAGCUAGUUGGUGGGGUAAAGGCUUACCAAGGCGACGAUCGGUAGCUGGUCUGAGAGGAUGAUCAGCCACACGU
rnacentral:rRNA from 1 species